UAACGCGUGAGGAACCUGCCUCAAAGAGGGGGACAACAGUUGGAAACGACUGCUAAUACCGCAUAAGCCCACAGCUCGGCAUCGAGCAGAGGGAAAAGGAGCAAUCCGCUUUGAGAUGGCCUCGCGUCCGAUUAGCUAGUUGGUGAGGUAACGGCCCACCAAGGCGACGAUCGGUAGCCAGACUGAGAGGUUGAACGGCCACAUUGGGACUGAGACACGGCCCAGACUCCUACGGGAGGCAGCAGUGGGGAAUAUUGCACAAUGGGGGAAACCCUGAUGCAGCGACGCCGCGUGGAGGAAGAAGGUCUUCGGAUUGUAAACUCCUGUUGUUGAGGAAGAUAAUGACGGUACUCAACAAGGAAGUGACGGCUAACUACGUGCCAGCAGCCGCGGUAAAACGUAGGUCACAAGCGUUGUCCGGAAUUACUGGGUGUAAAGGGAGCGCAGGCGGGAGAACAAGUUGGAAGUGAAAUCCAUGGGCUCAACCCAUGAACUGCUUUCAAAACUGUUUUUCUUGAGUAGUGCAGAGGUAGGCGGAAUUCCCGGUGUAGCGGUGGAAUGCGUAGAUAUCGGGGGGAACACCAGUGGCGAAGGCGGCCUACUGGGCACCAACUGACGCUGAGGCUCGAAAGUGUGGGUAGCAAACAGGAUUAGAUACCCUGGUAGUCCACACCGUAAACGAUGAUUACUAGGUGU
rnacentral:rRNA from 1 species